rnacentral:rRNA from 1 species
AUUGAACGCUGGCUGCAGGCCUAACACAUGCAAGUCGAACGCGUCGCGGACGGGGGAGUAAUGUCUGGGAACCUCCCUCACGUAGGGGGAUAACUACUUUAAACGGUAGCUAAUACUCCAUACCCUCUGAUGUGCCCAGAUGGGUUUGGUUAGUAGGUGGGGUAAGGGCUCACCUAGGCCGCGAUCCGUAGCUGGGCUGUGAGGAUGACCAGGCACACUGGAACUGAGAAACGGUCCAGACUCCUACGGGAGGCAGCUGUGGGGAGAAUUGCACAAUGGGCGCAAGCCUGAUGCGGCCAAGCCGCGUGUAUGAAGAAGGCCAUCGGGUUGGAAAGGACUUUCAGCGGGGUGGCGUUACCAGCAGAAGAAGCACCGGCUAACUCCGUGCCAGCAGCCGCGGUAAUUC